rnacentral:rRNA from 1 species
UACGUAGGGUGCGAGCGUUGUCCGGAAUUAUUGGGCGUAAAGAGCUUGCAGGCGGUUUGUCGCGUCUGCCGUGAAAAUCCGAGGCUCAACCUCGGACUUGCGGUGGGUACGGGCAGACUAGAGUGUGGUAGGGGAGACUGGAAUUCCUGGUGUAGCGGUGAAAUGCGCAGAUAUCAGGAGGAACACCGAUGGCGAAGGCAGGUCUCUGGGCCACUACUGACGCUGAGAAGCGAAAGCGUGGGGAGCGAACAGG